AGCGAACGCUGGCGGCAGGCCUAACACAUGCAAGUCGAACGAACUCUUCGGAGUUAGUGGCGGACGGGUGAGUAACACGUGGGAACGUGCCUUUUGGUUCGGAAUAACUCAGGUAAACUUGUGCUAAUACCGAAUGUGCCCUUCGGGGGAAAGAUUUAUCGCCAUUAGAGCGGCCCGCGUCUGAUUAGCUAGUUGGUGAGGUAACGGCUCACCAAGGCGACGAUCAGUAGCUGGUCUGAGAGGAUGACCAGCCACACUGGGACUAAGACACGGCCCAGAAUCCUACGGGAGGCAGCAGUGGGGAAUCUUGCGCAAUGGGGGAAAGCCUGACGCAGCCAUGCCGGGUGAAUGAUGAAGGUCUUAGGAUAGUAAAAUUCUUUCACCGGGGACGAUAAUGACGGUACCCGGAGAAGAAGCCCCGGCUAACUUCGUG
rnacentral:rRNA from 1 species